rnacentral:rRNA from 1 species
CUACGGAAGGCAGCAGUGGGGAAUAUUGCACAAUGGGCGAAAGCCUGAUGCAGCUAUGCCGCGUGUAUGAAGAAGGCCUUAGGGUUGUAAAGUACUUUCAUCGGGGAGGAAAAAACAAAACUAAUAAUUUUAUUUCUUGACGUUACCCGAAAAAGAAGCACCGGCUAACUCCGUGCCAGCAGCCGCGGUAAUACGGAGGGUGCUAGCGUUAAUCAGAAUUACUGGGCGUAAAGAGCACGUAGGUGGUUUUUUUAAGUCAGAUGUGAAAUCCCUGGGCUUAACCUGGAACUGCAUUUUGAAACUGAAAUACUAGAGUAUCGUAGAGGGAGGUAGAAUUCUAGGUGUAGCGGUGAAAUGCGUAGAUAUCUGGAGGAAUACCUGUGGCGAAAGCGGCCUCCUAAACGAAUACUGACACUGAGGUGCGAAAGCGUGGGGAGCAAACAGGGAUUAGAUACC